rnacentral:rRNA from 1 species
AGAGUUUGAUCCUGGCUCAGGAUGAACGCUAGCGGCAGGCUUAACACAUGCAAGUCGAGGGGCAGCGCGGGGUAGCAAUACCCUGGCGGCGACCGGCGGAAGGGUGCGUAACACGUGAGCGACUUGCCCGUCACAGGGAGAUAACCGGCGGAAACGGCGACUAAUAUCCCAUAUGAUCCGAUGCUACAUGGCGUCGGAUUGAAAGAUUCAUCGGUGACGGAUAGGCUCGCGGGACAUUAGCUUGACGGCGGGGCAACGGCCCACCGUGGCGACGAUGUCUAGGGGUUCUGAGAGGAAGAUCCCCCACACUGGAACUGAGACACGGUCCAGACUCCUACGGGAGGCAGCAGUGAGGAAUAUUGGUCAAUGGGCGGAAGCCUGAACCAGCCAUGCCGCGUGAAGGAAUAAGGCCCUAUGGGUCGUAAACUUCUUUAGACGCAGAGCAAUAAGGUCCACGAGUGGAUCGAUGAGAGUAUGCGUAGAAUAAGCAUCGGCUAACUCCGUGCCAGCAGCCGCGGUAAUACGGGGGAUGCGAGCGUUAUCCGGAUUUAUUGGGUUUAAAGGGUGCGUAGGCGGCAAGGUAAGUCAGCGGUGAAAGACCAGGGCUCAACUCUGGAAGUGCCGUUGAUACUGUCUGGCUAGAAUGAUUCCGCCGUGGGAGGAAUGAGUAGUGUAGCGGUGAAAUGCAUAGAUAUUACUCAGAACACCGAUUGCGAAGGCAUCUCACGAGGGGUUCAUUGACGCUGAGGCACGAAAGCGUGGGGAUCGAACAGGAUUAGAUACCCUGGUAGUCCACGCAGUAAACGAUGAUGGCUAACUGUCGGGCCUUAGGGUUCGGCGGCCAAGCGAAAGCGAUAAGCCAUCCACCUGGGGAGUACGACCGCAAGGUUGAAACUCAAAGGAAUUGACGGGGGCCCGCACAAGCGGAGGAACAUGUGGUUUAA